GAUGAACGCUGGCGGCGUGCCUAAUACAUGCAAGUCGAGCGAACAGAUGAGGAGCUUGCUCCUCUGACGUUAGCGGCGGACGGGUGAGUAACACGUGGAUAACCUACCUAUAAGACUGGGAUAACUUCGGGAAACCGGAGCUAAUACCGGAUAAUAUAUUGAACCGCAUGGUUCAAUAGUGAAAGACGGUUUUGCUGUCACUUAUAGAUGGAUCCGCGCCGCAUUAGCUAGUUGGUAAGGUAACGGCUUACCAAGGCAACGAUGCGUAGCCGACCUGAGUGGGGGAUCGGCCACACUGGAACUGAGACACGGUCCAGACUCCUACGGGAGGCAGCAGUAGGGAAUCUUCCGCAAUGGGCGAAAGCCUGACGGAGCAACGCCGCGUGAGUGAUGAAGGUCUUCGGAUCGUAAAACUCUGUUAUUAGGGAAGAACAAAUUUGUAAGUAACUAUGCACGUCUUGACGGUACCUAAUCAGAAAGCCACGGCUAACUACGUG
rnacentral:rRNA from 1 species